rnacentral:rRNA from 1 species
GAUGAACGCUGGCGGCGUGCCUAAUACAUGCAAGUCGAGCGAACGGACGAGAAGCUUGCUUCUCUGAUGUUAGCGGCGGACGGGUGAGUAACACGUGGAUAACCUACCUAUAAGACUGGGAUAACUUCGGGAAACCGGAGCUAAUACCGGAUGAUAUUUUGAACCGCAUGGUUCAAAAGUUAAAGACGGUCUUGCUGUCACUUAUAGAUGGAUCCGCGCUGCAUUAGCUAGUUGGUAAGGUAACGGCUUACCAAGGCAACGAUGCAUAGCCGACCUGAGAGGGUGAUCGGCCACACUGGAACUGAGACACGGUCCAGACUCCUACGGGAGGCAGCAGUAGGGACUCUUCCGCAAUGGGCGAAAGCCUGACGGAGCAACGCCGCGUGAGUGAUGAAGGUCUUCGGAUCGUAAAGCUAUGUUAUUAGGGAAGAACAUAUGUGUAAGUACCUGUGCACAUAUUGACGGUACCUAAUCAGAAAGCCACGGCUAACUCCGUG